UCUCGUAAGGCCUUUAAUGACCACAUAAACCCAACAUCUCCCGCUUGGCCUUUGAAGACCUUAGAAUAUCGCUUUCUCACUUUCUCAUCCCCUUAAUUAUAAUCUAUCUCUCAAGCAUGUUUCACUUAUUCUCUCUUAUUAUAUUAAUCAUGAUUUUUUCCAUCAAUCCUUUCACAAAGCAUUUAUGGAGGCAGCGCUUAUAUCUCUUUGCUGCUAGAAUCUCAUCUCAAACGUGGUCAUAGUCCAUCUUUCAUGUCUCAUUGCGAAUCACAUACUUGUUGUCGCAGAAGAUCAUCACAUACCCUCAUCGCAUGGGGUCGUAUCUUCAGGAGCUUAAAGCAAUUCUUCAAUCAAGCUGCUCUCUUCUGCAGCUAUACAACUAGCGUCAUGCAUCCUGGUUCCAUAGGUGAACAAUAAUAUAUUAUUCCAACUGAACCAUCAAACACAAGCAGGCUCUCUCAUUGGAAUAUUGAGUUCAUCUGGAUCUUUCAUAGUAGGAUACUUGUAUAUUUGAAUAUCCAAGUAGCUAAAGAUAAUCAUACGAUUGUUAACAUCUCCCACUUCAAACAUAACACAUAAGAAAUGUUAUCUCAACAUUCUCAUGCUUAUGUCAUGAGUUAGUAUCGCAAGUCUCAUACCAAAUAGUAACUCAAUGCUCGUUUGGUUUCACAGUACGAAAAACCCUCUUGAAUAACAAAGGUUCAGCCACACUAGUCUUCUUGGUAGUAUACCCCUACAAACCAAGUUAUCUAAUCCACACAGCACAUAUCAAGUAGACCUAACAAGAUGACCAUCCUAUGAUAUACCCUACGGUUUAUAGUCUUAGGUAAUCGAGAAUUCUAAAAAACUCAAAACCAGGUCACAUAAUCGGUACUAUAAAAACAUGAGUUAAGAC
rnacentral:lncRNA from 1 species